rnacentral:rRNA from 1 species
CUCAAACUGCAGCCGUACGCUCAAUCUUCCGUCGCCAAUCACCCCUAUCGGAAGCUCUCCUACAAGUUCUAUGGUCCAUUCAUGGUGGCCGCACGGAUCGGAACACUAGCAUAUCGCUUGCAACUACCGGCAGACAGCUGCAUACACUCGGUAUUCCACGUCUCCCAGCUGAAGCCCUUCACUCCUGAUUACACCCCUGUUUUCUCUGAGCUGCCAAGAGUACCUCACCUUGUCACCGGCGAAUCUGAGCCCGUAGCCAUCUUGGAGCGUCACAUGAUGAAGAAAGGAGACGUGCGAGUCAUCCAGUUGCAGAUUCAGUGGUCCAAUAUGCCUCUGGCGGUCACCACCUGGGAGGAUUACGACACCCUCAAGGAACACUACCCUACGGCUUGCAUCUGGGAUGGGGCACCUUCUCAAGGAAGGGACAAUGUCACGACUGCAGAUGACAUAUCUGCAGUGGACUGA